GUUUUCAAUUACACUCUGACAUGCAGGUUUUCAUUUUUCGGCCAUCGCGAACGCCUGAGCAGGCGUAUCGUUUAUUUAUUAGUUUCGCCAUAUUACAAUACACAAUACUAUAACAAGAACAAGAAUAAUAUACAUGACUAUAGGCAGGGUGACCGCAACAGCGUGAGCCAAUUGCUGCGGGCCCGAAUUAGGACAUACAAACACAAAAAAAGACUAUCUGAAUAAAACUCAUCUGAAGCUGACGUAUUAAACAAAAAUGUCAACAAAAUAGAUUUGUCUCCCCAUCAGCAGAUUGUUCAGUUGUUCUGCGGUAGGGGUAGCCUUGAAGGUGCCAUUAAAACGAUAAUUGGGACAAAAACUAACUUACCGGUAGUAUUCCUAUGUAUGAAAUUGUUAUUAAAUUCUACAUAUCCAAUGAUUCAUUCAAGUAUUAUUAUCGUUUGUAUAUAUUGAUAUUGUACCGUAUUCAGUGGCAAGCUAGCCAUGACAACUGGUCAUGCUAUGCUAAUAAACCUGCAUCUAUUUGAAUAAUGCAAAUCAUUCAAAACUUGCAUGGCAUAACCUGGUGCUAUGGCUAUAUAUAGCUUUACCAUUAACAAUACAGAAGCAAGAAAUUAUAAGCAUUGAAGGUAUAAAACCGUCCAUGCCAAGAAAGUAGAAUUAGAAUAUUUAACUGACCUUCGACUUUGUGCAAGGUGCUUUCGUAUUCAAAUUGCACUUUUCCUACUGUCCUGAAUAGGUGUCUUAGCGGUGCUUUACGUGCUCAUAUGAUGGAAGGCAGGAUGAGGCAGCACUUUCCUUGCGAUAGUAACUUCUAGUAUAUAGUUUCUUUCUGAUCUGUAAAGACGUAUGGAGUGAUUUUAUUUGGGGGGGGGAGCAACUUAAUAAUUUGUGACGUCACAAUUCUAAGGGCCAUCCUAAGACAUGCUUCCCCGGG